rnacentral:rRNA from 1 species
UACGUAGGUGGCAAGCGUUGUCCGGAUUUACUGGGCGUAAAGGGCGUGCAGGCGGUUUGUUAAGUCUGGUGUGAAAUCUCCCGGCUCAACCGGGAGGGGUCAUCGGAUACUGGCAGACUUGAGACGGGUAGAGGAAAGCAGAAUUCCCGGUGUAGCGGUGAAAUGCGUAGAUAUCGGGAGGAAUACCAGUGGCGAAGGCGGCUUUCUGGGCCUGUUCUGACGCUGAGGAGCGAAAGCGUGGGGAGCAAACCGG